AUUGAACGCUGGCGGCAGGCCUAACACAUGCAAGUCGAGCGGAUGAGAAGAGCUUGCUCUUCGAGUUAGCGGCGGACGGGUGAGUAAUGCCUAGGAAUCUGCCUGGUAGUGGGGGACAACGUUUCGAAAGGAACGCUAAUACCGCAUACGUCCUAAGGGAGAAAGCAGGGGACCUUCGGGCCUUGCGCUAUCAGAUGAGCCUAGGUCGGAUUAGCUAGUUGGUGAGGUAACGGCUCACCAAGGCGACGAUCCGUAACUGGUCUGAGAGGAUGAUCAGUCACACUGGAACUGAGACACGGUCCAGACUCCUACGGGAGGCAGCAGUGGGGAAUAUUGGACAAUGGGCGAAAGCCUGAUCCAGCCAUGCCGCGUGUGUGAAGAAGGUCUUCGGAUUGUAAAGCACUUUAAGUUGGGAGGAAGGGCAGUAAGCGAAUACCUUGCUGUUUUGACGUUACCGACAGAAUAAGCACCGGCUAACUCUGUGCCAGCCGCCGCGGUAAUAC
rnacentral:rRNA from 1 species